UUGAAGAUAGGAAAUGAGGUUCUUCCUUAGCCGUAUGGCUUAAACUGCUUUGAAUGCUGAUGACUUCUACCUGUUC
rnacentral:ncRNA from 2 species